rnacentral:rRNA from 1 species
CCGCAGCUAACGCACUAAGUGCACCGCCUGGGGAGUACGGUCGCAAGACUGAAACUCAAAGGAAUUGACGGGGGCCCGCACAAGCAGUGGAGCAUGUGGUUCAAUUCGAGGCAACGCGAAGAACCUUACCCAGGCUUGACAUCCCAGGACAGCCCAUGAAAGUGGGUCUUCCCUUCGGGGGCCUGGAGACAGGUGUUGCAUGGCUGUCGUCAGCUCGUGUCGUGAGAUGUUGGGUUAAGUCCCGCAACGAGCGCAACCCUUGCCCUUAGUUACCAGCGGGAAAGCCGGNNACUCUAAGGGGACUGCCGGUGAUAAGCCGGNGGAAGGUGGNGACGACGUCAAGUCAUCACGGNCCUUACGCCUGGGGGUUACACACGUGCUACAAUGGCC